GGGGAAUUUUCCGCAAUGGGCGAAAGCCUGACGGAGCAAUACCGCGUGAGGGAGGAAGGCUCUUGGGUUGUAAACCUCUUUUCUCAAGGAAGAAAAAAAUGACGGUACUUGAGGAAUAAGCAUCGGCUAACUCCGUGCCAGCAGCCGCGGUAAUACGGAGGAUGCAAGCGUUAUCCGGAAUGAUUGGGCGUAAGGCGUCCGCAGGUGGCUAUGUAAGUCUGCUGUUAAAGAGUCUGGCUCAACCAGAUAAAGGCAGUGGAAACUACAUGGCUAGAGUGCGUUCGGGGCAGAGGGAAUUCCUGGUGUAGCGGUGAAAUGCGUAGAGAUCAGGAAGAACACCGGUGGCGAAAGCGCUCUGCUAGGCCGCAACUGACACUGAGGGACGAAAGCUAGGGGAGCGAAUGGGAUUAGAUACCCCAGUAGUCCUAGCCGUAAACGAUGGAUACUAGGCGUGGCUUGUAUCGACCCGAGCCGUGCCGUAGCUAACGCGUUAAGUAUCCCGCCUGGGGAGUACGCAGGCAACUGUGAAACUCAAAGGAAUUGACGGGGGCCCGCACAAGCGGUGGAGUAUGUGGUUUAAUUCGAUGCAACGCGAAGAACCUUACCAGGACUUGACAUGUCGCGAAUUUCUGUGAAAGCAGAAAGUGCCUUCGGGAGCGCGAACACAGGUGGUGCAUGGCUGUCGUCAGCUCGUGUCGUGAGAUGUUGGGUUAAGUCCCGCAACGAGCGCAACCCUCGUUUUUAGUUGCCAGCAUUAAGUUGGGCACUCUAGAGAGACUGCCGGUGACAAACCGGAGGAAGGUGGGGAUGACGUCAAGUCAGCAUGCCCCUUACGUUCUGGGCUACACACGUACUACAAUGCUACGGACAAAGGGCAGCAAGCAUGCGAAUGCAAGCUAAUCUCAUAAACCGUGGCUCAGUUCAGAUCGCAGGCUGCAACUCGCCUGCGUGAAGGAGGAAUCGCUAGUAAUUGCAGGUCAGCAUACUGCAGUGAAUUCGUUCCCGGGCCUUGUACACACCGGCCCGUCACACCAUGGAAGCUGGUAGUGCCCGAAGUCAUUACCCCAACCGCUUGCGGAGGGGGAUGCCUAAGGCAGGACUGGUGACUGGGGU
rnacentral:rRNA from 1 species